GAUGAAGAACGUAGCGAAAUACGAUACGUAGUGUGAAUUGCAGAAUUCAGUGAAUCAUCGAAUCUUUGAACGCACAUUGCACCUCUCGGUAUUCCGGGAGGUAUGCCUGUUCGAGCGUCAUUUGUACCCUCAAGCUCUGCUUGGUGUUGGGUGUUUGUUCCGCCUCUGUGUGUGAACUCGCCUCAAAACAAUUGGCAGCCGGCGUACUUGUUUCGGAGCGCAGCACAUUUUGCGAUCCAGAUCAACGUACAGCGGCAUCCAAGAAGCCUUAUUUAACGCUCUUGACCUCGGAUCAGGUAGGGAUACCCGCUGAACUUAAGCAUAUCAAUAAGCGGAGGA
rnacentral:misc_RNA from 1 species